rnacentral:rRNA from 1 species
UACGAAGGGUGCAAGCGUUACUCGGAAUUACUGGGCGUAAAGCGUGCGUAGGUGGUUUGUUAAGUCUGCUGUGAAAGCCCCGGGCUCAACCUGGGAAUGGCAGUGGAUACUGGCAAGCUAGAGUGCGGUAGAGGGGUGUGGAAUUCCCGGUGUAGCGGUGAAAUGCGUAGAGAUCGGGAGGAACACCAGUGGCGAAGGCGGCACCCUGGACCAGCACUGACGCUCAUGCACGAAAGCGUGGGGAGCAAACAGG